CCUACGGGAGGCAGCAGUGGGGAAUAUUGGGCAAUGGGCGCAAGCCUGACCCAGCAACGCCGCGUGAAGGAAGAAGGCUUUCGGGUUGUAAACUUCUUUUAUCAGGGACGAAACAAAUGACGGUACCGGAUGAAUAAGCCACGGCUAACUACGUGCCAGCAGCCGCGGGAAUACGUAGGUGGCAAGCGUUAUCCGGAUUUACUGGGUGUAAAGGGCGGGGAGGCGGGCUUGCAAGUCAGAUGUGAAAUUCCCGGGCUCAACCCUGGAACUGCAUUUGAAACUGUAGGUCUUGAGUGCUGGAGAGGCAAUCGGAAUUCCUUGUGUAGCGGUGAAAUGCGUAGAUAUACGGAGGAACACCAGUGGCGAAGGCGGCUUGCUGGACAGUAACUGACGCUGAGGCGCGAAAGCGUGGGGAGCAAACAGGAUUAGAUACCCGGGUAGUC
rnacentral:rRNA from 1 species